UACGUAGGUCCCGAGCGUUGUCCGGAUUUAUUGGGCGUAAAGCGAGCGCAGGUGGUUUAUUAAGUCUGGUGUAAAAGGCAGUGGCUCAACCAUUGUAUGCAUUGGAAACUGGUAGACUUGAGUGCAGGAGAGGAGAGUGAAAUUCCAUGUGUAGCGGUGAAAUGCGUAGAUAUAUGGAGGAACACCGGUGGCGAAAGCGGCUCUCUGGCCUGUAACUGACACUGAGGCUCGAAAGCAUGGGGAGCAAACGGG
rnacentral:rRNA from 1 species